rnacentral:rRNA from 1 species
GAUGAACGCUGCCGCCUGCCUUAUCCCAUCCAGUCGGACGGAUAGACGAGGAUCUUGCUCCUUUGACGUUGGCGGCGGGCGGGCGGGUAACUCGUGGGUAACCUACCUAUAAGCCUGGGCUAACUACGGGAAACCAGAGCUGAUUACGGAUAACAUGUCUAACCCUGUGGCUCAACAGGUAUAGGCGAUCUUGCGGUUACUUAUAGAUGGAUCGGUGCCGCAUUAGCCAGUUGGUAGGGUAGCGGCUGACCAAGGCAACGGUGCGUAGCCGACCUGGAGGGGUGGUCGGCCACACUGGAACUGAGGCGAGGUCCAGACUCCUACGGGAGGCAGCAGUAGGGAAGCUUCCGCAAUGGGCGAAAGCAGGACGGAGCAGCGCCGCGUGAGUGAAGAAGGUCGUCGGAUCGUAGAACUCUGUUAUUGGGGAAGAAGAAGUGUGGAAGUAACUGUGCGCGUCUUGACGGUAGCUAAUCAGGAAGCCACGGCUAACUACGUG